AUUGAACGCUGGCGGCAUGCUUUACACAUGCAAGUCGGACGAGUGGCGAACGGGUGAGUAACGCCUCGGAACGUACCGAGUAAUGGGGGAUAACUGUCCGAAAGGACAGCUAAUACCGCAUAACAUUCGAUCUGCCGAUGUCUGAUUAGCUGGUUGGCGGGGUAAAGGCCCACCAAGGCGACGAUCUGUAGCUGGUCUGGGAGGAUGAUCCGCCACACUGGGACUGAGACACGGCCCAGACUCCUACGGUAGGCAGCAGUGGGGAAUUUUGGACAAUGGGCGCAAGCCUGAUCCAGCCAUGCCGCGUGUAUGAAGAAGGCCUUCGGGUUGUAAAGGACUUUUGUCAGGGAAGCGGUACCUGAAGAAUAAGCACCGGCUAACUACGUGCCAGCAGCCGCGGUAAUAC
rnacentral:rRNA from 1 species